rnacentral:rRNA from 1 species
UCCGUAGGCGGGCGUCUAAGUCAGUGGUGAAGUCUUACAGCUCAACUGUAAAAUUGCCAUUGAUACUGGAUGUCUUGAAUUAGUGUGAAGUGGUUAGAAUGUGUAGUGUAGCGGUGAAAUGCAUAGAUAUUACACAGAAUACCAAUUGCGAAGGCAGAUCACUAACACUAUAUUGACGCUGAGGGACGAAAGCGUGGGGAGCGAACAGGAUUAGAUACCCUGGUAGUCC